AGCGAACAUUGGCGGUAGGCUUAACACAUGCAAGUCGAGCGAGGCUACGAGCCGAGCGGCGAACGGGUGAGUAAUACGUUGAAAUCUACCCUGGAGUGGGGAAUAACCAGCAGAAAUGCUGGCUAAUGCCGCAUAAUCCAUAUUGGAAAGCGCUUAGCGCUCUAGGAUGAGUCAACGGCCGAUUAGCUAGUUGGUGGGGUAACGGCCCACCAAGGCGACGAUCGGUAGCUGGUCUGAGAGGAUGAUCAGCCACACUGGAACUGAGACACGGUCCAGACUCCUACGGGAGGCAGCAGUGGGGAAUCUUGCGCAAUGGGGGCAACCCUGACGCAGCCAUACCGCGUGCGCGAUGACGGCCCUCGGGUUGUAAAGCGCUUUUGGCGGGGACGAUGAUGACGGUACCCGCAGAAUAAGUCACGGCUAACUUCGUGCCAGCCGCCGCUGUAA
rnacentral:rRNA from 1 species